rnacentral:lncRNA from 1 species
GUGUAUUUUUUUCUCGUUCGUGUUAUGCAAUGAACUGUUGUGCUACCACAUGCUUCUUUAUCAUUCACGUGCAACGCCCCUUCUCCGA